rnacentral:rRNA from 1 species
AUUGAACGCUGGCGGCAGGCUUAACACAUGCAAGUCGAGCGGUAACAGAGAGAAGCUUGCUUCUCUGCUGACGAGCGGCGGACGGGUGAGUAAUGCCUAGGAAUCUGCCUAGUAGUGGGGGAUAACUUGCCGAAAGGUAAGCUAAUACCGCAUACGUCCUACGGGAGAAAGGAGGGGACCUUCGGGCCUUUCGCUAUUAGAUGAGCCUAGGUCGGAUUAGUUAGUUGGUGAGGUAAUGGCUCGCCAAGACCGCGAUCCGUAACUGGUCUGAGAGGAUGAUCAGUCACACUGGAACUGAGACACGGUCCAGACUCCUACGGGAGGCAGCAGUGGGGAAUAUUGGACAAUGGGGGGGAACCCUGAUCCAGCCAUGCCGCGUGUGUGAAGAAGGUCUUAGGAUUGUAAAGCACUUUAAGUUGGGAGGAAGAGCAGUUAACUAAUAUUUGACUGUUUUGACGUUACCGACAGAAUAAGCACCGGCUAACUUCGUG